rnacentral:misc_RNA from 1 species
UAAAGAGAAAAAGUNGAGCGGAACGUUAAUUGGUGCUUGCACCGAUUAAUUUCCCGCGGCGGAAGGGAAAAAUAACACGUGGGCAACCUGCCGUGUAGAUUGGGAUAACUCCGGGAAACCGGGGCUAAUACCGCAUAAGACCACGAUCCGGAUGGAUUGGGGCAAAAGUGGAAACACGCCUGGGGAUGGGCUCGCGGCCUAUCAGCUAGUUGGUGAGGUAACGGCCCACCAAGGCAACGACGGGUAGCCGACCUGACAGGGUGACCGGCCAAACUGGGACUGACUUUUUUUUCCACACUCCUAGGGGGAGGGACAAUGUGG